rnacentral:rRNA from 1 species
GUAGGUGGCAAGCGUUGUCCGGAAUUAUUGGGCGUAAAGCGCGCGCAGGCGGUCCUUUAAGUCUGAUGUGAAAGCCCACGGGCUCAACCGUGGAGGGUCAUUGGAAACUGGGGGACUUGAGUACAGAAGAGGAAAGCGGAAUUCCAAGUGUAGCGGUGGAAUGCGUAGAGAUUUGGAGGAACACCAGUGGCGAAGGCGGCUUUCUGGUCUGUAACUGACGCUGAGGCGCGAAAGCGUGGGGAGCAAACAGGAUUAGAUACCCUGGUAGGCCACGCCGUAGACGAUGAGUGCUAAGUGUUAGGGGGUUUCCGCCCCUUAGUGCUGCAGCUAACGCAUUAAGCACUCCGCCUGGGGAGUACGGCCGCAAAGGCUG